UAGGAUGAUGAGAGCCCAAUCUUUGUUGCAAUAAAAACUAUUGGCACCCAUUUUAAUCUUCACUGACGGCCACUCGCAGAUUUACUUUAAAAGAUCACAAGUCUAACUAUUUUAUAAAAGAACUUAAAGAAAAAUUAUAGACAGACAUAGGAAUGGUUGAUGCAUCGGGGAGAAAUGCCUCUAUUUAUUGUCAGGUACGGAGCUGCAGCAAUUGGAAUUGUUACGCCAAGAGGCGGUGGAUCUCUCACAUUUCCGUGGCGGUUGCAACAAACUCCAGGAUGGGACCAAUUCAGUGGUAAAGGCCGGGGUCUUUUUGUUUCUGGGCCGCGUCCGUUAUGAAGAGUUAACUCUACCCAAAUUGACUUGUUUACUGGAAGUCUUAGACAGUCGUCUAGAGGGAACGAAGCCAUGCUCUUUACCAAGCCCUUCGUGUAUAAGACCUCUUUGUUUAAUGGAAUAAGGCAGACAGCAGUCAUGUGAUGGCGUCAUGGUCGACACGGGUUUUAUCUCACCUUUUAUCGUGGAGAUCAUCUAACGCUAAGACCGGUGUUUUGUUCAAAGAAGGCCGGUUGGGGAUACAUUGUGUUUGUAAAUGUCUAUGUGGAUCUUGGCUGAGAGGCCUUCGAGUCUACAAACAAAGUUAACACUCCUGAUGUGAAGAGACGGGGUCACACUGCCAAACUGCCAUGGUUUGAAAAGCGCGAAACAGAGCUUGUAACUGUAACUGAAACUUGUGCCCAUCAAGCGGGCAAGUUCAAGGGAAAAAAUCUGAACUUGGAAACGCAUUUGCGUAAGAAAGCUCCGAAGAGCUUGCUUCAAGAGGACAAACAACGAUCACAAACACGAAGAGUUAUUGUCGAAAGUUCAGACAGUCUUUGUGGAUAAUUGGUUUUUUAAGCUGUGGCUGAUGCUCUUCGAACUGAACGCUCUGUCGCUGGUCAGCGAAUUAAAUGUAAUGUUUAUCAUCUUUAAACGAUCCCUAGUAUUAAAUAGCAAGUUCGUGUUUGUUAUUGUAACCAGAAUUUGCUCAGGUAGUUUCAAGAGGUAUUUCAGGUUUAUUCUUACAAAAUUUUUAGAAGUCUCGAAAAAUGUAAUGCUAGAAACUGCAACAUGUUGUUAAAUACAAACAUUAACUGGUUAAGAAGA